ACUGUUCAUAUUUUGGCAUAAGCCUGCUGCCUACAACAAACAUGAUGGAAGGCUGUAACACCCAUGUCACAUUCCUGGAAAGAGGCCUGCUACAUUUACUACCCCCACGUUCCCGAGCCCUGACCCUCGCCUGGCAUUUCUAGCAAAUGAAAGGAACAGCACAGAGGACAGGACGGGAUAAGCCCUGACAAGGUCAUGAGAGGACAGGACCAGACAGCUCAACAUAGACCCAUUCAGUGCGACGGGUCUUCCUGUGCCACAGACCUAUGUUCUAUGUUUUAAAUUAAGCUGUAAGACAACAAAAAUAUAGCUACCCUUUCCUCAACACAAAAUAAUAGGGGUCAGCACAAAUUUUGAAAUAUCACGGCCUUGUUGGACAGUACCUCGGGUCUCUCCAUUUUCAUGUUGCUUAUUAUUGUUUGCCAGUAUCACAGGAAGGAAACAAAAUAUCACAAGCUAAGUUCUUGCUAUGAGAUAUUAGCCUGUAAAACAUUUCUGAGCCUGGCAGCUAUAAGCCAAAUCAGUCAGCUAAAUACAGAUCUUCUGGUCUGGUGUGCAGGGCUUCUUGUUUGCACCUUGAGAUUUUUAAGGGACAUCGGUUCACAGGUUAGUACCAGUGUUGUGCUCUGCUGUAGCAAAAUUUGCCUGGACUGAAUGAUUAAAUCACAGAAGCUCGUCUCCAACCAACUACUAGGCUCAAGUUCCAGAUUUUUGCUGUUUUACAUGGAGGUGUGGCUUCAUGAGAGAGAUAAGAAAGCAAAGUAACACUCUCUGGCAAAGCAGUCAGGAUCUAAGGUCUGCAGCGGGGCAGGGGUUUCUGAAGAGCAGAGUAUUUACUAAGACAGGAACAUUUUCAACAUCUGCAGUUGUUUUGUUCUUCUUUGCUGUGGAACAUUACUUGACGACAAAUUACUUGGCUGGUCUGAGCACAGCUGUUUUGGGUCACCCUAGUGCCAAUUGGGGAAGUUAUUAAAACACUACGUUAUUGCAUCUCAGGUUUGAGGGAAAGCAGAUUAAAACAUGUCAGGGUGACAGGAUAAAGUCUGUUUCUGAAAAACGAUUAAAAUGACCUUUCUCAUCCGUCAGAGAAAUAUAAUUUCAUAAGAAAUGCAAACAAAAACCAAAAUGCACUGGGGCUGGAGUGAGUUGGCGAGCUUAGUCGAGACAGCUGGAGCAAUAGUUCAAUAUUUUUGCAAAAGGUCUGUUCCAAACCUUUUGUAAAGCCUUCAAUAAUUGUGGGAAAGGUUCAACAAACCAAACUUGGUCUUUCAGAAUCCUAUCUACAGAAUAUAUUUAACGUGUAGGAAGUGGAACAGUUAAACGAAGAAGAUAAGAUAAGUUAAGAUAAAGAAGACAGGGACAAAGAGGAGGAAAUUAAUGAGGAAAGACUUAAUGUAGCCUGGCUUUUGGGGAUGACAAACCUCGGUGUAAAAUCCAAUAGACUCAAACUGCUGACAUGAUGGCAAAAAUAAAUGUCCCUGUACACCUUAAAGUGUUUCCCAGAGCAAAAGUGGGACAAAUUCAAAAUAAACUGAUAGAGAGCCCUGACCUAAAGUUUGGUUUGUUAUAACUGUCUGAUAAAUCUUAAGAAUAAGGCAGAGAACUUCACAUGCAUUUUGAUAAACAAACUUGCUGUUACAACUUAUUUUGGUGAAAAGUCUUACGUUUUCUUUAAGCCAAUUUUAACAUUUAAAAUUAUAGUCAUUUUGCUGUAAUAUACCACACUGGGUGUACUGAAAACACCGUAACUGAAACACCGUGCUUGGUGGCUCUUGCAGAGGGAUCGUGGCAGUUCACAUUUUUUCAACAUUACAUUCUGGCAGCGAAGACCAAAAAAUCCAGUGUUUUGAUAAAACUAGUCGGGAGUGAGAAAGCAUCCAUCUAUGUUAAAGAAGAAUGGGAGUUGCAGGCCAGAACAUUGAAGUCCUCAUAAGAUAGACAAGAUGCCUGCCAGCUUUUUCCACACUGUCGACCUGUAAGGGGUGUACUGAGAUAAACAUCAAACAGGUGAUGCUGAACGGGUAUUUGUAUGACUGCUGUUAAUCAGUAAGCAGGACUGGCAUAUACCCCCCACACACAGGCAUAGAGAAAAUAUGGAAAACACAUGUGUGCAGAGUGACACAUGCAUGUUACAUAAUACACCACAUCCAGUGUGUACAAACGGUAUCCACAGGCUAUGAACAUGCUCAGACAAUCCCUGCCUGUCAGACUCAGGGAGAUUUGACUGUCUCCACUAGCAAAGAUUCAAACUUGAAACGUGUCA